AGAAAAUGGAGGAAAUGAGAAGAGGGAGAUUCUUGUACAGUUUUUGGAAUGUUUGAAACAUGGUGUGAUUAUUACUUUGAAAAUGUAAUCUUUGAAAUUUCAUCGUGAUGGGAAUAGAUCAUUGCAAUUGUUGGUCUUCAACGAGGAAUUCUUAAUAAGCGCGAGCCAUCAACUCGCGUUGACUACGUCUCUGUCCUUUGUACA
rfam:Arabis alpina cultivar Pajares chromosome 2, whole genome shotgun sequence.